rnacentral:rRNA from 1 species
CAGUAGCCACGGUAAUACAGAGGGUGCAAGCGUUAAUCGGAAUUACUGGGCGUAAAGCGCGCGUAGGUGGUUUGUUAAGUUGGAUGUGAAAUCCCCGGGCUCAACCUGGGAACUGCAUCCAAAACUGGCAAGCUAGAGUAUGGUAGAGGGUGGUGGAAUUUCCUGUGUAGCGGUGAAAUGCGUAGAUAUAGGAAGGAACACCAGUGGCGAAGGCGACCACCUGGACUGAUACUGACACUGAGGUGCGAAAGCGUGGGGAGCAAACAGGAUUAGAUACCCCGCGUAGUCCCUGUCUCUUAUA